UACGGAGGGAGCUAGCGUUGUUCGGAAUUACUGGGCGUAAAGCGCACGUAGGCGGCUUUUUAAGUCAGGGGUGAAAUCCCGGGGCUCAACCCCGGAACUGCCCUUGAAACUGGAGAGCUAGAAUCUUGGAGAGGCGAGUGGAAUUCCGAGUGUAGAGGUGAAAUUCGUAGAUAUUCGGAAGAACACCAGUGGCGAAGGCGGCUCACUGGACCGGUAUUGACGCUGAGGUGCGAAAGCGUGGGGAGCAAACAGGG
rnacentral:rRNA from 1 species